GUGGGCUGGACGUAUCACAAGUGCGAAUGCUGACAUAAGUAACGAUAAAACGGGUGAAAAACCCGUUCGCCGGAAGACCAAGGGUUCCUGUCCAACGUUAAUCGGGGCAGGGUGAGUCGGCUCCUAAGGCGAGGCUGAAAAGCGUAGUCGAUGGGAAACAGGUUAAUAUUCCUGUACUUGGUAAAGCUGCGAUGUGGGGACGGAGUAGGUUAGGUUAUCGCACUGUUGGAUAUGUGCGUUUAAGUUGGUAGGUGGGAAGUUUAGGCAAAUCCGGACUUCCUUAACACAGAGAGAUGAUGACGAGGCUCUACGGAGCUGAAGUAACUGAUACCACACUUCCAGGAAAAGCCACUAAGCGAAAGGCUUUACUAAACCGUACUGAAAACCGACACAGGUGGUCAGGUAGAGAAUACUCAGGCGCUUGAGAGAACUCGGGUGAAGGAACUAGGCAAAAUAGCACCGUAACUUCGGGAGAAGGUGCGCCGGCGUAGAUUGUAAGGGCUAGCCCCUGAAGGUUGAACCGGUCGAAGAUACCAGCUGGCUGCAACUGUUUAUUAAAAACACAGCACUCUGCAAACACGAAAGUGGACGUAUAGGGUGUGAUGCCUGCCCGGUGCUGGAAGGUUAAUUGAUGGUGUCAUCGCAAGAGAAGCACCUGAUCGAAGCCCCAGUAAACGGCGGCCGUAACUAUAACGGUCCUAAGGUAGCGAAAUUCCUUGUCGGGUAAGUUCCGACCUGCACGAAUGGCAUAAUGAUGGCCAGGCUGUCUCCACCCGAGACUCAGUGAAAUUGAAAUCGCCGUGAAGAUGCGGUGUACCCGCGGCUAGACGGAAAGACCCCGUGAACCUUUACUAUAGCUUGACACUGAACAUUGAAUUUUGAUGUGUAGGAUAGGUGGGAGACUUAGAAGUAGGAACGCCAGUUUCUAUGGAGUCAUCCUUGAAAUACCACCCUUUAACGUUUGAUGUUCUAACGAAGAUGACGAAACGUGGUCUCGGACAGUGUCUGGUGGGUAGUUUGACUGGGGCGGUCUCCUCCCAAAGCGUAACGGAGGAGCACGAAGGUUUGCUAAUCACGGUCGGACAUCGUGAGGUUAGUGCAAUGGUAUAAGCAAGCUUAACUGCGAGACAGACAAGUCGAGCAGGUACGAAAGUAGGUCAUAGUGAUCCGGUGGUUCUGAAUGGAAGGGCCAUCGCUCAACGGAUAAAAGGUACUCCGGGGAUAACAGGCUGAUACCGCCCAAGAGUUCAUAUCGACGGCGGUGUUUGGCACCUCGAUGUCGGCUCAUCACAUCCUGGGGCUGAAGUAGGUCCCAAGGGUAUG
rnacentral:rRNA from 1 species